CCUGCCCCUGAAAGCAUUGCAGGGCUGGCUACAGUGUCACAUGUGCAUCAGUAGGUAGCAGAGGAGAGAGGCUAUAUCUACUCUCAGUGUUCUGACCCGUGAACAUCUGAAUGAUCAGUAGCCUUAUACU
ensembl:snoRNA